GGUUCGGUGGCCUAAUGGCAAGGCGUCACUUUCCGGUCUUUCUACGAUUGGUGAAGAUUGCGGGUUCGAGUCCCGUCCGGAUCG